rnacentral:rRNA from 1 species
GAUAGAACGCUAGCGGACAGGCUUAAUACAUGCAAGGUCGAGGGGCAUCAAGGUACACGAAAGUGUAUUGUUGGCGACCGGCGGACGGGUGAGUAAUAGGUAGGUAACCUACCUCAUACUGAGGCAUAGCUGGGAGAAAUUCCAGGUAAUUCCUCAUGAGGUUAUAUGACACAUGUGAUAUAAUCAAAGGUAUCGCAAGGUACUGGUAUGAGAUGGGCUUACUGACCAUUAGCUAGUUGGUGAGAUAAGAGCUCACCAAGGCGAAGAUGGUUAGGGGUUUUGAGAGAGAGAUCCCCCACAUUGGAACUGAGAUACGGUCCAGACUCCUACGGGAGGCAGCAGUAGGGAAUAUUGGGCAAUGGGCGGAAGCCUGACCCAGCCAUGCCGCGUGAGGGAAGAAGGCCUUCGGGUUGUAAACCUCUGUCAUGGGGGAAGAAGUAAGUGACGGUACCCCAAGAGGAAGCCCCUGCUAACUACGUG